GUGGCUACAGAGCAUGACAGGGCAGUGAUGUGCUGAAUCCUUACAGCAUUGGUCACAUUGCCAGGUGCUCUUCUCUCAAUUCAGAGUUUCCUCGCAUCCUGUGUCAAGCCAGGUAUUUCUAAUAUGCCCCUGUGGGCUAGAGGAGCUGCAGUGUACUAGCCAUGAACCGAAGGUGUGACAUGGCAGAUGGAAGGAGCAGUGGGAGUCUGGGUGAAUCCUUCAGUCCAACGGUGCGUCCUCUGGGCUGCGAGCGGAAAGUGACCGUGGAUUACAGCACGAUAAUCCCGAGAACCGGGCGGAUUUACAGUUUGAUUUGCUUUCUUCAACACGGCGACAUUGGGUGUUCGCCCGACACCCCUUCUAUUAUUUGUAAAGUGACAGCAGCAAUAUGAGCUCUUAGCGUUCUUUAGAUCCUCCAAUGCAGCUCUGUGGUUGAGAUGAGAGCAGCGGAGUCAAUCAACAAUGACAACUUUCCAUUUCCUUUUAUAUGCAAUUGAUUCAAGACUGAGUAAAAAGAAAAAACAGUUUGAUCUCAAAACCUCUACACACCUCUGAGACCGAUCUGUAAAACACAUCCCUGAGUGUGUCCUCUGUUUGCUUUCAAAUCUAGAAAUACCAUCUUUCAGUGAUUUGCCUCCACUUAACAGUCAGAUUGCAGGAGAUGUUGUGACAUCACCCAUCUUUUAGUGAGUUUUUGUGUUGAAUAAAGACCAAAAAGUUGUUAUAUCCCAGUGAAUCUGAACUUUUACCUUUUUAUAUAUAAUGCCAUAAUUGAAUGUGUUUAUAGCUUUUUCUCUUUCAUGAGAAUUAGGAGAAAUCAAAAUUCAAAUCAACUUAAAAUAUUAACCUCAAGCUCAGAGUCGAUUCAUUAAAAUAAGAAUAAUGAUUGAAAA